CUUUCUUUGCUGGCGACCGGCGCACGGGUGAGCAACACGUAUCCAACCUACCCUUUACUCGGGGAUAGCCUUUCGAAAGAAAGAUUAAUACCCGAUAGCAUAAUGAUUCCGCAUGGUUUCAUUAUUAAAGGAUUCCGGUAAAGGAUGGGGAUGCGUUCCAUUAGGUUGUUGGUGAGGUAACGGCUCACCAAGCCUUCGAUGGAUAGGGGUUCUGAGAGGAAGGUCCCCCACAUUGGAACUGAGACACGGUCCAAACUCCUACGGGAGGCAGCAUG
rnacentral:rRNA from 1 species